UACGUAGGGUGCGAGCGUUAAUCGGAAUUACUGGGCGUAAAGCGUGCGCAGGCGGUUUGCUAAGACCGAUGUGAAAUCCCCGGGCUUAACCUGGGAACUGCAUUGGUGACUGGCAGGCUAGAGUAUGGCAGAGGGGGGUAGAAUUCCACGUGUAGCAGUGAAAUGCGUAGAGAUGUGGAGGAAUACCGAUGGCGAAGGCAGCCCCCUGGGUCAAUACUGACGCUCAUGCACGAAAGCGUGGGGAGCAAACAGG
rnacentral:rRNA from 1 species